rnacentral:rRNA from 1 species
UACGUAGGGUGCAAGCGUUGUCCGGAAUUAUUGGGCGUAAAGAGCUCGUAGGCGGUCUGUCGCGUCUGCUGGUGAAACUCGGGGCUUAACCCCGGGCCUGCAGUGGGUACGGGCAGACUAGAGUGGCGGUAGGGGAGGUGUGGAAUUCCCGGUGUAGCGGUGAAAUGCGCAGGAUAUCGGGAGGAACACCAGUAGCGAAGGCGGCACUCUGGGCCGGGUACUGACGCUGAGGAGCGAAAGCGUGGGGAGCGAACAGG